GGGGGGGGGGGGGGGGGGGGGGGGGGGGGGGGGGGGGGGCGGGCGGGCGGGGAGCGGGCUGUGCUGAUGUUAGCGGCGGACGGGUGAGUAACACGUGGAUAACCUACCUAUAAGACUGGGAUAACUUCGGGAAACCGGAGCUAAUACCGGAUAAUAUUUUGAACCGCAUGGUUCAAAAGUGAAAGACGGUCUUGCUGUCACUUAUAGAUGGAUCCGCGCUGCAUUAGCUAGUUGGUAAGGUAACGGCUUACCAAGGCAACGAUGCAUAGCCGACCUGAGAGGGUGAUCGGCCACACUGGAACUGAGACACGGUCCAGACUCCUACGGGAGGCAGCAGUAGGGAAUCUUCCGCAAUGGGCGAAAGCCUGACGGAGCAACGCCGCGUGAGUGAUGAAGGUCUUUGGAUCGUAAAACUCUGUUAUUAGGGAAGAACAUAUGUGUAAGUAACUGUGCACAUCUUGACGGUACCUAAUCAGAAAGCCACGGCUAACUACGUG
rnacentral:rRNA from 1 species